UGAAGAAAGUGCAGUGAAGACAGCUUGCUAAUUCUUUUCCAGUCAUUAGGCAAACUUCUCAGCAGUUUGGCAGUCAAAGUCACGAGGGAAGUCGAGCAGCGACAUCAUCCUGAGAGGUUGGAACUCUCAACGACACUCGAUAAGGGAAGAGCUGUGGACAGAUUUACAACGUGCCAACUACAGUAGUCCAGCACAGAACCUCCCAUUGGCAUAUUUCCCCAGGCCCUGGAAAUUAUUGAAGUUAAAAAUGAAGUGGCUGGAAUUGUAGAAGUUGACACUUCGGGUCAAACAACUCUCUGAGCCCAUCGCACUUAAUUUCUCAUGGGAGCAGACCGACUGUGAAGAGAUACUGUUACUAACGGGGCAGCAGGUGCCAACAGAUCGAAAUUAUU